GACGAACGCUGGCGGCGUGCUUAACACAUGCAAGUCGAACGGAAAGGCCCCUUUGGGGGUACUCGAGUGGCGAACGGGUGAGUAACACGUGCGUAACCUGCCCUUGACUUCGGGAUAACUUCAGGAAACUGGGGCUAAUACCGGAUAGGAAUCCUUGCUGCAUGGUGGGGGGUGGAAAGCUUCGGGGGGUUUGGAUGGACUCGCGGCUUAUCAGCUUGUUGGUGGGGUAGUGGCUUACCAAGGCUUUGACGGGUAGCCGGCCUGGGAGGGCGACCGGCCAAAUUGGGACUGGGAUACGGCCCAGACUCCUACGGGGGGCAGCAGUGGGGAAUAUUGCACAAUGGGCGGAAGCCUGAUGCAGCAACGCCGCGUGCGGGAUGACGGCCUUCGGGUUGUAAACCGCUUUCAGCAGGGGCGAAGCUUGUGGUGACGGUACCUGCAGAAGAAGCACCGGCUAACUACGUG
rnacentral:rRNA from 1 species